UACGUAGGGUGCGAGCGUUAAUCGGAAUUACUGGGCGUAAAGCGUGCGCAGGCGGUUCGUUAAGUCAGAUGUGAAAGCCCCGGGCUCAACCUGGGAAUGGCAUUGGAAACUGGCUGGCUAGAGUGUGGCAGAGGGGGGUGGAAUUCCGCGUGUAGCAGUGAAAUGCGUAGAUAUGCGGAGGAACACCGAUGGCGAAGGCAAUCCCCUGGGCCUGCACUGACGCUCAUGCACGAAAGCGUGGGGAGCAAACAGG
rnacentral:rRNA from 1 species